rnacentral:rRNA from 1 species
GAAAUGCGAUAAGUAAUGUGAAUUGCAGAAUUCAGUGAAUCAUCGAAUCUUUGAACGCACCUUGCACCCUUUGGUAUUCCGAAGGGUACGCCCGUUUGAGCGUCAUUGUAAUCUCACUUCAACGACUUUUGUUGUUUGAAUGUGGACUUGGAUGUUGCCGUGUCAUUACGGCUCGUCUCAAAUGCCUGAGUGUACCCUGUUUUGCAGCGUAUCCAGUGUAAUAAACAUUUCACUAGAGUUGGUCGAAAGACCGCGUUUUGCGAUUUGGGCUCUAUGCUUCAAACCGUCCACUUGUGGACAAUACUUGACAAUUUGGCCUCAAAUCGGGUGGGACUACCCGCUGAACUUAAGCAUAUCAAUAAGCGGAGGAAAAGAAACU